rnacentral:rRNA from 1 species
AAUAUUUGACAAUGUGCGCAACCCUGUUCCAGCCACGCCCCGCGAGAGAUGAAGGCCUUAGCGUUUUAUAGCUCUUUCAGUGGGGCAGAUAAUGACGGUACCCACAGAAGAAGCACCGGCUAACUUCGUGCCACCAGCCGCGGUACUACGAAGGGGGCUAGCGUUGUUCGGAUUUACUGGGCGUAAAGCGCACGUAGGCGGAUUGGUCAGUUAGGGGUGAAAUCCCGGGGCUCAACUCCGGAACUGCCUUUAAUACUGCCAGUCUAGAGACCGAGAGAGGUGAGUGGAACUCCUAGUGUAGAGGUGGAAUUCGUAGAUAUUAGGAAGAACACCAGUGGCGAAGGCGGCUCACUGGCUCGGUACUGACGCUGAGGUGCGAAAGCGUGGGGAGCAAACA